rnacentral:rRNA from 1 species
AUUGAACGCUGGCGGCAGGCCUAACACAUGCAAGUCGAGCGGAUGAAGGGAGCUUGCUCCUGGAUUCAGCGGCGGACGGGUGAGUAAUGCCUAGGAAUCUGCCUGGUAGUGGGGGAUAACGUCCGGAAACGGGCGCUAAUACCGCAUACGUCCUGAGGGAGAAAGUGGGGGAUCUUCGGACCUCACGCUAUCAGAUGAGCCUAGGUCGGAUUAGCUAGUUGGUGGGGUAAAGGCCUACCAAGGCGACGAUCCGUAACUGGUCUGAGAGGAUGAUCAGUCACACUGGAACUGAGACAGGGACCAGACUCCUACGGGAGGCAGCAGUGGGGAAUAUUGGACAAUGGGCGAAAGCCUGAUCCAGCCAUGCCGCGUGUGUGAAGAAGGUCUUCGGAGUGUAAAGCACUUUAAGUUGGGAGGAAGGGCAGUAAGUUAAUACCUUGCUGUUUUGACGUUACCAACAGAAUAAGCACCGGCUAACUUCGUG